rnacentral:misc_RNA from 1 species
GAUGAAGAAACGCAGCGAAAUGCGAUAAGUAAUGUGAAUUGCAGAAUUCAGUGAAUCAUCGAAUCUUUGAACGCACAUUGCGCCCGCCAGUAUUCUGGCGGGCAUGCCUGUUCGAGCGUCAUUACAACCCUCAGGCCCCCGGGCCUGGCGUUGGGGAUCGGCGGAAGCCCCCUGCGGGCACAACGCCGUCCCCCAAAUACAGUGGCGGUCCCGCCGCAGCUUCCAUUGCGUAGUAGCUAACACCUCGCAACUGGAGAGCGGCGCGGCCACGCCGUAAAACACCCAACUUCUGAAUGUUGACCUCGAAUCAGGUAGGAAUACCCGCUGAACUUAAGCAUAUCAAUAAGCGGAGGA